CCAGUGGCUGCUACUUGCUAGGCCUACUACUACUACUAGGCUAGUAGGAAGGCGGUGCAGCAGCUGAUGAUGCAGAGUUCGAUAGAAAAAGAACAUGGUAGAGUAGUGGAAAAUACCUAAAUGAAGAUGGAAAAAAAAACAGAUAAUGAUGGACAGAUAAGUGUUGGCACAUCUCACAGAUACGUGUGAAAAUCAUUCAUCCCAUCGACCAUUUUUGGCUAUCAAAGAAGAGAAACCUGUGCUCACAACUACAGAAGGAUGGAUCAGCCCUGGUAAUACAAAUACAAGGACUGAUUCAAAAAGCAACAAUAUUUGUAAUCAUACGGCCAUACCAAGGAGGCGAAAGCUGUAGAAAGCUCCCAUUUCAAUCGGUACUUCACUUAACAAAAGAUAAUUGACAAGUUAAAAAGUAAUUAAUUGAUCUGUUGAUUGUUUUUGUUUUUUAGUUCACCUUUCUGCAAAGUGCACAUAACUGAUUUAUUUAUAUUUUCUAAAUUCAGUAAAUUUUUUUUUUAAAUAAAAUAAAUCAAUUGUAUUGUAAUCAUCUAUAAUCUUUUAAUUUAAUCCUUAAUGUAUUUUUAAAUUUGCUCACUAUACACAAUGUAAUUAAAGUGUACAGUAGUAAUAACUGCAUUGUGUUUUUUUUUAUAUAUUAUUAAUUCAUUGUAUGACUAAUACUAUAGAUCUUGUUAUGAGUAUAGAGUAAAUAUAGAAUGUAAAUGUGCAUUGAUUUUUAAAAAUACAGUAUUUUCUUAAAUUUUAAAUAUUGCAUUGAAUGUAUUAAAGAAAUAUAUAAUUUACAUUUAGAUAUUAAUAUGAUAAAUAAUUUUAAAAUGGUCAGAGUAUGUUAUAAUUGUAACUGUUGGUGGAAUUUAAUAAUAAAUGCACAUUAAUAAGUAUUAACAAAAAUGUUGUUUAAAUUAUUUUGGUGAUAGAGUAAGUACAGUAAAUAGAUAUUGCAGCGACUCAGAGUUACUAAUGAUAACAGUUUGCCAGUUAGAAUUGAAACCCAGUGGAAAAAGCAGUUGGACCUCAUAACUUUUUGAAUACCAGUUGAACCAGUUGGAAUUGAAACCUGUUGGAAACCAGUUGAAAACCCAUUAGAAAACCAGUUUGCAUAAAAAAGUAUAUGUAACCUAUAGGGGCCUGUAGGAUCCUAAAGGG